GUUGUAGCUCAGUGGUAAAGCACAUGCCUAGCAUGUGUGAGGCACUGGGUUCGAUCCUCAGCAGCA
rnacentral:tRNA from 1 species